rnacentral:lncRNA from 1 species
AUAGUUGGCAAGUGUCUUCUUGUCCUUUUCUUUUUGUCUUCAUAUGUAGUAGCAAUUUGGUUUUGGACAUAUUGUGUCCUACAUAUAAAAAUCACAGUAAAUUAACAAUAUUAGGGAAUCAAGUACAAAGAUCCAAAAGCCAAAUCAUAAAGUGGUAUAACAGCACUUGAUACUUUGAGGCACACUAGAACGUUUAUAUCAAAAUGGCAAGACAACAUAUGAAAAUUUUAAAAGUUUUU